CCACUGACUGUUUUCCCUGCUGUUAAUAUCUUACAUCAGUGUGCUUUUUGUCAUAAUUAAGAACUAAUAUUGAUACAUCAUUACAACAAGAAAAACAAAAGAAAAACAACCUAAGUGUCCAUCGACAGACAAUUGGAUUAAGAAGAUGUGGUAUAUAUACAUAAUGGAAUACUACUCAGCCAUGAAAAGAAUAAGAUAAUGCCAUUUGCAGCAACACAGAUGGAACUAGAGGACUCUAAUACUAAGUGAAGUAAGUCAGAAAGAGAAAGACAAAUACCAUAUGAUACCACAUAUCUGAAUCUAAUAUAGGGUACAAAUAACCUUUCCAAAGAAAAGAAAAUCAUGGACAUGGAGAACAGACUUGUGGUUGCCAAGAGGGAGGGGGAGGGAGUAGGAGGGACUGGCAAUUUGGGAUUAAUAGAUGCAAACUAUAGCCUUUGGAAUGGAUAAGCAUUGGGAUCCUGCUGUAUAUCACUGGGAACUAUGUCUGGUCACUUGUGAUGGAGUAUGAUAAUGUGAGAAGAAAGAAUGUGUACAUGUAUGUGUGACUGGGUCACCUUGCUGUGCAACAGAAAAUUGACAGAACACUGUAAAUCAGCUAUAAUGUAAAAAAUAAAAAUCAUUAUUAAAAAAAAGAAAAUUUCCGCUUAUAGAUCUUCCUUCCCUAAUCCAAUUUUUUUAUUGUUGUUGGUUCUGUAUGUGCCAUUUCAUUCCAUUCCUAUCAUUUUCAUCAUGGAUGUCAGAAGACAUGAAAGUGAGAGGUCAAUUGACCAUUAAAAAUUGAAAGUCUGUUUUUAAGGUUGUGAUUUUAAAACAUAAGGUGGUAUAAUUACUACCUCUCAUUGUUUAUUUAAUAUUUGUCAGUUUUCUAGAACAAUAAAAUAAUAAAAAUAGACCAUGUAAUGGUUUCCUCUCAAUAAUAUAAAAAUAUCAUUUUCGUCCUUAAGAUUGAAAUGAGAAAAAAUAAGGUAAAAAGUCUCAUGGAAAUUGGAACUAGUCUGAUCUAUUUUGUUGAUUUUAAAUUGUCUGAUAGAUUAUUUGUUGUCAGGAAAAAGAGAAUUUUGGAUAGAGUUUCAGAAGUUGACAAAUAGGGCUGAAUGAAACAAUUGUGUUGAGGAAGGGUUUUCUAAGUCUUCACUGACAGAUU
rnacentral:lncRNA from 1 species